AUUGAACGCUGGCGGCAGGCCUAACACAUGCAAGUCGAGCGGGGUUUUCGGACCUAGCGGCGGACGGGUGAGUAAUGCGUAGGAAGCUGCCCGAUAGAGGGGGAUACCAGUUGGAAACGACUGUUAAUACCGCAUAAUGUCUACGGACCAAAGUGUGGGACCUUCGGGCCACAUGCUAUCGGAUGCGCCUACGUGGGAUUAGCUAGUUGGUGAGGUAAUGGCUCACCAAGGCGACGAUCUCUAGCUGGUUUGAGAGGAUGAUCAGCCACACUGGAACUGAGAAACGGUCCAGACUCCUACGGGAGGCAGCAGUGGGGAAUAUUGGACAAUGUGCGCAAGCCUGAUCCAGCCAUGCCGCGUGUGUGAAGAAGGCCUUCGGGUUGUAAAGCACUUUCAGCGAGGAGGAAGGGUUGUGUGUUAAUAGUACACAGCUUUGACGUUACUCGCAGAAGAAGCACCGGCUAACUCUGUGCCAGCCGCCGCUGUAAGAC
rnacentral:rRNA from 1 species